AUUGAACGCUGGCGGCAGGCCUAACACAUGCAAGUCGAGCGAGCGGCGGACGGGUGAGUAAUGUCUGGGAAACUGCCUGAUGGAGGGGGAUAACUACUGGAAACGGUAGCUAAUACCGCAUACCAUCAGAUGUGCCCAGGUGGGUUUAGCUAGUAGGUGUGUUAACGGCUCACCUAGGCAACGAUCCCUAGCUGGUCUGAGAGGAUGACCCGCCACAUUGGAACGGAGAAACGGUCCAGACUCCUACGGGAGGCAGAAGUGGGAAAUAUUGCACAAUGGGCGCAAGCUUGAGGCAGCCAUGCCGCGGGUGUGAAGAAGGCCUUCGGGUUGUAAAGCACUUUCAGCGGGGAGGCGUUACCCGCAGAAGAAGCACCGGCUAACUCCGUGCCAGCAGCCGCGGUAAUAC
rnacentral:rRNA from 1 species